UGGGGUAUCGCCAAGCGGUAAGGCAACGGUUUUUGGUACCGUUAUUCGGGGGUUCGAAUCCCUCUACCCCAU
rnacentral:tRNA from 2 species